CGUGUAGGCGGUCGGUCAAGUCCGGUGUGAAAGCCCGGGGCUCAGCUCCGGAAGUGCAUCGGAAACUAGCCGACUAGAGCGCGAUAGAGGAGGGUGGAAUUCCUGGUGUAGCGGUGAAAUGCGUAGAUAUCAGGAGGAACACCGGCGGCGAAGGCGGCCCUCUGGAUCGUUGCUGACGCUGAGACGCGAAAGCGUGGGUAGCAAACAGGAUUAGAUACCCUGGUAGUCCACGCCCUAAACGAUGCAUAUUUGGUGUGGGCCGUUCAGUCGGUCCGUGCCGGAGCUAACGCGUUAAAUAUGCCGCCUGGGGAGUACAGUCGCAAGGCUGAA
rnacentral:rRNA from 1 species